rnacentral:rRNA from 1 species
UACGUAGAAGGCGAGCGUUAUCCGGAUUUAUUGGGCGUAAAGAGGGCGUAGGCGGUUCUUCAAGUCGGAUGUAAAAUCUCCCGGCUUAACUGGGAGAGACCAUUCGAUACUGCUGGGCUAGAGUGCAGUAGAGGGAGACGGAAUUCCCGGUGUAGUGGUGAUAUGCGUAGAUAUCGGGAGGAACACCAGUGGCGAAGGCGGUCUCCUAGGCUGUUACUGACGCUGAGGCCCGAAAGCGUGGGGAGCGAACAGGAUUAGAUACCCCCGUA